ensembl:miRNA
CCCGCCUAGGGCUUCUCCAAUCUCUUUUCUGACUUUGUUUUCUCAAAGACUGAUCCUUGGGGAUCCCGUCAGUGCUUGGAGAAACGAAGAGGGUGGGGGAAAGAGGGAAGAAGAUAGGCGUGGCUUCCU